GACACGGGCAGGAGGGGCGACGUGCCGCAAGCCCGAGGCCAGUCUUAUGGCCUCACUUCGGGGACGGUACCCAAGCAGCAGGAGAGUCAUGGAAUCCAUCCCUCCUGCUUCCAGGAGACCACCCUCACGCCCUGACAGAAAAGUGGUCUUCGUGGCCUGGCCUCAGGAAGUCUCUUCUCCGGUGUCUCUUAGUUACCUCGCGCCGCAGCCUUGACCAGAAAGAGCGGGCCGGGUAGUCCGGAAAGGAAAGGGAGUAAAUGGCAGAGGCAAGAUGCCAACCCACACUACGAACUACUGCAUUCUACUGUCGCUUCAGUCCCCUCUGUAUGGGAAAUCUAGCUAUUUAAGAGGAAACUGAUUGAUUUUUGGAAACAGCCUAAAGCACAUUGGGAACCCAUGAAGCGUUAUUAUUGCUCAAGAAAGGAAACAUGGCAGAGAAACUAAGGAAAAGUGGAAUAAGCCUCUGGCUGAAAGCUUCAAGGUAUGAGCACUGGAGAAAUGAAGCAAAGGAAAAGGUCAACAUUCUGAUCAGAGAUGUUGAAUUGAGAGGGCAAAACUCCUGUCUUGUCUGCCCAACAUCUCUACCAUUCUCUCACCUUUCCAGUUGCCAGAGAGAAAAGCAAGACACCUAGGGACCACCAAUCAGCAGCAUGGUUGUAAGGCCCUCCACUCAGGACCUCUGGGGCUACAGAUUUGAAAGAUACUUGUUACUGACAUCCAUUGGCUAUCCUCCUGCCCAAUGCUUACCCACCAGCUUUAGCCUCUCUCUUACCCAUGUAUUGAAGAGUGCCACAGAUAGUAUAGGCUUGAGAUCCCCGGGGCAGAUGGCGGGACAGACCAAAGUCUGUCAGUUUCAGAUGGCCUAUGAAAGAUAAGGUAACAGCACCACUCUGUUCGACCCCUCAU